rnacentral:rRNA from 1 species
AUACGUAUGGGGCGAGCGUUGUCCGGAAUGAUUGGGCGUAAAGGGCGCGUAGGCGGCCCGGUAAGUCUGGAGUGAAAGUCCUGUUUUUAAGAUGGGAAUUGCUUUGGAUACUGUCGGGCUUGAGUGCAGGAGAGGUAAGUGGAAUUCCCAGUGUAGCGGUGAAAUGCGUAGAGAUUGGGAGGAACACCAGUGGCGAAGGCGACUUACUGGACUGUAACUGACGCUGAGGCACGAAAGUGUGGGGAGCAAUCAGGAUUAGAUACCCUGGUAGUCCACACUGUAAACGAUGAAUGCUAGGUGUAGGGGGUAUCGACCCCUUCUGUGCCGCAGUCAACACAAUAAGCAUUCCGCCUGGGGAGUACGGCCGCAAGGUUGAAACUCAAAGGAAUUGACGGGG